rnacentral:rRNA from 1 species
UACGUAGGUGGCAAGCGUUGUCCGGAUUUACUGGGCGUAAAGAGCGCGCAGGCGGUCGUUCAAGUCGCGUGUGAAAGCCCCCGGCUCAACUGGGGAGGGUCACGCGAUACUGAUCGACUCGAAGGCAGGAGAGGGAAGUGGAAUUCCCGGUGUAGUGGUGAAAUGCGUAGAUAUCGGGAGGAACACCAGUGGCGAAGGCGGCCGCCUGGACCUGACCUGACGCUGAGGCGCGAAGGCGCGGGGAGCGAACGGG